GGGAGCCGGAUGAGUCGAGAGGCUCACGUCCGGUUCUGCGAGGGGCUGGGGGUGAAAUUCCCCUGGUCUACUCACC
rnacentral:ncRNA from 1 species